CUAACUUGGUGGCGCACUUGGACAAGUUCUUGGUGGGCAACGGUGUAUUUCUAAAUCGAAUACGCAACUAAAAGCCCGCUGAUACUGAGCGGGCUUUUUUAU
rfam:Vibrio metschnikovii CIP 69.14 VIB.Contig146, whole genome shotgun sequence.